GACGAACGCUGGCGGCGUGCUUAACACAUGCAAGUCGAACGGAAAGGCCCUGCUUGCAGGGUACUCGAGUGGCGAACGGGUGAGUAACACGUGGGUGAUCUGCCCUGCACUUCGGGAUAAGCCUGGGAAACUGGGUGUAAUACCGGAUAGGAGCCAUUUUUCGUGUUAUGGUUGGUAAGUUUUUUCGGUGUAGGAUGAGAUCGCGGCCUAUCAGCUUGUUGGUGGGGUAAUGGCCUACCAAGGCGGCGACGGGUAGCCGGCCUGAGAGGGUGGACGGCCACAAUGGGACUGAGGUACGGCCCAGACUCCUACGGGAGGCAGCAGUGGGGAAUAUUGGACAAUGGGCGCAAGCCUGAUGCAGCGACGCCGCGUGGGGGAUGACGGCCUUCGGGUUGUAAACUCCUUUCGCUAGGGACGAAGCUUUUUGUGACGGUACCUAGAUAAGAAGCACCGGCUAACUACGUG
rnacentral:rRNA from 1 species